rnacentral:rRNA from 1 species
GAUGAACGCUGGCGGCGGUGCCUCAAACAUGCAAGUCGAGCGGGGCGUAUGUAAUAUCGCAAGGUAGAACAUAGCCUAGCGGCGAACGGGUGAGUAACACGUGGGUAACCUGCCUGGAAGACAGGGAUAACGAUUCGAAAGGGUCGCUAAUACCUGAUAAUAUCCUUUCAUCGCAUGGUGAUAGGAAGAAAGGGGAAACCCGCUUUCAGAUGGGCCCGCGUCCCAUCAGCUAGUUGGUAAGGUAAAGGCUUACCAAGGCGACGACGGGUAGCCGGUCUGAGAGGAUGUACGGCCACACUGGGACUGAGAUACGGCCCAGACUCCUACGGGAGGCAGCAGUUGGGAAUCUUAGGCAAUGGACGAAAGUCUGACCUAGCGACGCCGCGUGAGGGAAGAAGGCCUUCGGGUUGUAAACCUCUGUCAUGGGGGAAGAAGGAAGUGACGGUACCCCAAGAGGAAGCCCCUGCUAACUACGUG